rnacentral:rRNA from 1 species
GAAAUCGUAUAGGGGCACCUCUGUAUUAUGAAAGGAGGAAACUCCGCCGGUAGAUGGGCUCGCGACUGAUUAGGUAGUUGGAGUGGUAAUGGCACACCAAGCCUACGAUCAGUAGCCGGACUGAGAGGUCGAACGGCCACAUUGGGACUGAGAUACGGCCCAGACUCCUACGGGAGGCAGCAGUGGGGGAUAUUGCACAAUGGAGGAAACUCUGAUGCAGCGACGCCGCGUGAGGGAAGACGGUCUUCGGAUUGUAAACCUCUGUCUUAGGGGAAGAACAAGUAGGUACCCCCAAAGGAAGCCACGGCUAACUACGUGCCAGCAGCCGCGGUAAUACGUAGGUGGCAAGCGUUGUCCGGAAUUAUUGGGCGUAAAGCGCGCGCAGGCGGCCUCUUAAGUCUGAUGUGAAAGCCCCCGGCUCAACCGGGGAGGGCCAUUGGAAACUGGGAGGCUUGAGUAUAGGAGAGAAGAGUGGAAUUCCACGUGUAGCGGUGAAAUGCGUAGAGAUGUGGAGGAACACCAGUGGCGAAGGCGAUCCCCUGGGCAUUAACUGACGCUGAGGAGCGAAAGCAUGGGGAGCGAACAGGAUUAGAUACCCUGGUAGUCCAUGCCGUAAACGUUGGGCACUAGGUGUGGGGGACAUUCCACGUUUUCCGCGCCGUAGCUAACGCAUUAAGUGCCCCGCCUGGGGAGUACGGCCGCAAGGCUAAAACUCAAAGGAAUUGACGGGGGCCCGCACAAGCGGCGGAGCAUGCGGAUUAAUUCGAUGCAACGCGAAGAACCUUACCAAGGCUUGACAUGAACCGGUAAUACCUGGAAACAGGUGCCCCGCUUGCGGUCGGUUUACAGGUGGUGCAUGGUUGUCGUCAGCUCGUGUCGUGAGAUGUUGGGUUAAGUCCCGCAACGAGCGCAACCCUCGUUCUAUGUUGCCAGCGCGUUAUGGCGGGGACUCAUAGGAGACUGCCGGGGUCAACUCGGAGGAAGGUGGGGACGACGUCAAAUCAUCAUGCCCCUUAUGUCUUGGGCUUCACGCAUGCUACAAUGGCCGGUACAAAGGGUUGCGAUACUGUGAGGUGGAGCUAAUCCCAAAAAGCCGGUCUCAGUUCGGAUUGGGGUCAGCAACUCGACCCCAUGAAGUCGGAGUCGCUAGUAAUCGCAGAUCAGCAACGCUGCGGUGAAUACGUUCCCGGGCCUAGUACACACCGCCCGUCAA